GGACCUGCAUGACUCCAACCAGUAUCACCAAAAGCACUUCCAGACUAAUCCAUAGACAGGUUUUGAGAGCCGACCAGCUUCCAGGGAUCAUCUCCCACCUGGAAUGAAGUUAAGAGAACAGGCAGGAAAGGGAAGACAGGGUGAACUGGCCAAGAAAUCCCUAAUUGUGUAAAUUACCAGACAAAGCUCUUCAGCCCCUUCCUCAUGACUCAGACAUGGAGACAAAGGACAAAUGAAAGGGAGGAAAUGUCUUUGCCUCCCUGGAAAGGAAGGAGACCCACCAAGCAGAAAGAGAGGGAGGAGGGAAGGGACAGCUCAGUGGAGCUGCAGUGACCAAGCGGAGUACAGCGGGGAGAAAUCCGGAGACAUUUCCCAGUCUUG
rnacentral:lncRNA from 1 species